UACGUAGGGUGCGAGCGUUGUCCGGAAUUAUUGGGCGUAAAGAGCUCGUAGGCGGUGUGUCGCGUCGGCCGUGAAAACCUGCAGCUUAACUGUGGGCUUGCGGUCGAUACGGGCAUCACUGGAGUUCGGCAGGGGAGACUGGAAUUCCUGGUGUAGCGGUGAAAUGCGCAGAUAUCGGGAGGAACACCAAUGGCGAAGGCAGCUCGCUGGGACGGUACUGACGCUGAGGCGCGAAAGCGUGGGGAGCAAACAGG
rnacentral:rRNA from 1 species